ACGAACGCUGGCGGCGUGCCUAAUACAUGCAAGUCGAGCGGAGUGAUGAAGAAGCUUGCUUCUUCUGAUUUUAGCGGCGGACGGGUGAGUAACACGUGGGCAACCUACCUUGUAGAUUGGGAUAACUCCGGGAAACCGGGGCUAAUACCGAAUAAUCCAUUUUGCUUCAUGGCGAGAUGUUAAAAGGCGGCUUCGGCUGUCACUACGAGAUGGGCCCGCGGCGCAUUAGCUAGUUGGUAGGGUAAUGGCCUACCAAGGCGACGAUGCGUAGCCGACCUGAGAGGGUGAUCGGCCACACUGGGACUGAGACACGGCCCAGACUCCUACGGGAGGCAGCAGUAGGGAAUCUUCCACAAUGGACGAAAGUCUGAUGGAGCAACGCCGCGUGAGUGAAGAAGGUUUUCGGAUCGUAAAACUCUGUUGUAAGGGAAGAACACGUACGAGAGUAACUGCUCGUACCUUGACGGUACCUUAUUAGAAAGCCACGGCUAACUACGUG
rnacentral:rRNA from 1 species